AUUGAACGCUGGCGGCAGGCCUAACACAUGCAAGUCGAACGAGUGGCGGACGGGUGAGUAAUGUCUGGGAAACUGCCUGAUGGAGGGGGAUAACUACUGGAAACGGUAGCUAAUACCGCAUACCAUCAGAUUUGCCCAGAUGGGAUUAGCUGGUUGGUGGGGUAACGGCUCACCAAGGCGACGACCCCUAGCUGGUCUGAGAGGAUGAACGGCCACACUGGAACUGAGACACGGCCCAGACCCCUAGGGGGGCAGUCGGGGGGAAAUAUGGCAAAUGGGCGGAAAGCCUGAGGCACCCAGGCCGGGGGAAUAAAGAGGGCCUUCGGGUUUAAAAGUACUUUCAGCGGGGAGACUUUACCCGCAGAAGAAGCACCGGCUAACUCCGUGCCAGCAGCCGCGGUAUAC
rnacentral:rRNA from 1 species